GAAGCAUUCUGGCAGAGGAAUACAUAACCAAUAAGGAAUCAUAUGAACAAGAAGCCAGAAAAAAAACUGAAGAAGCUGCAGCAGAAUCAUUGGAGUCAAAGGAGAAGAAAUUAGUGGAGCAAGAGAAACGGUUCAUACCUCCACAUCUCAUCUGUCCACUGAGCAAGAAGAUGUUCACUGAUCCAGUGAAAACAAAUCGCGGAGCAGUGUAUGAUCGAAGGGCCGUUGAAAAACAUCUGAAAAUGCGCAAGUGGGAUCCAUUUAUUGAACCAAAGGUUCUUCUUAGAAGAACUGAUCUAAAGCCAGACCAAGAAAUGAAGUCCAGGGUGAAAGCACAUCGUACAAGACAACUUGAGACAAGCGUUUAACCAAACAACUUCAAUCACAUCACUGCAGUCCCUGUUAUACUUUAAUAUAGAUUCUCACCUUUCUGUGAGUAGAAUAUCUUCUUGUUUGUCUUUCAAACAAGAAGACUAUUAAGGUUACAUAAGUCAAUGACAUAAGCAUCACAAUCACUGGCUUAUGUUUUGUCUCAUUAUUGUAUGUUAAGGCAAUAAACAGUUAAGACCAAAAUCAUUCACACAUUUAUGAUAUGGAUUUGAAUUCAUUUAAUUUAAACAAGAAGAUAGUUUGAGAUGGGAUAGGAAAUGAGACAAACAUCUCCCAAAAGACAAUAAACCAAAGUAAAAUUAGCCUUUAUAUUGAAAAAAUCUGUUUGGUUUUCAUUGCAUCUUAUUUAAAAAAUGACAUGCCAAAAAUGUGUGAUAUUAAUCUUGCUAUUAAUCAGUGGAAAAAUCUUCAUUGUCAUUUCAGAAAUCAAAAAGCGUUUUGCCUGUUUCCUCUGGUUUUAUGUUUAUAUUUGGUGAUAAUCUUCGAGUCUUUGAAAGCCUUUUGGCUUCUGCUCCAUCCACAAAUUCAACAACUGUAUUACUGUAUAACUAACAACCAGAUUAUUUUCAAUUGUAAUGUGUGUCAAUAAUUUUUUUACCUCAGUGUAUAAGGGAAAUAUUGUUAAGAACUGUUAACAACUAGUAAAUGAGAAUUUAUUUCUAUUGGAUAUCUAAUCAGUGUUUUGUUUCAUUUAAAAAUCUUUUUCCAGAAAUGACACAACUUUUAGACAUUGUUUAGGAAAAAUCUUUUUUUAUUUUCAGGAGUGAGCGAAACACUGAAUCAAUCAGAGAAAUGCACAUUUGUCUUUAGAUAUUUUAUUUAGAAAUUCAGAAUAAAUAUCAGAGAUCAGCGUGUGAGAAAAGAAAAGCAAGAGAGAAGUGAAACUUAAAACAUAUAAUUCUCCUUUUAUAUCUUAUCAGUCUCAUACACGGUGCCUUCCACUCAUCUCUCUCCUGUAGGGAGUUUCUCUGAGUUUCUCCCGGCUCUGGUGAAUUGGUAAUUCUGUUCCUAAAUCAAAUCUGGUUCAAAGGAACUUCGGUUGGAAAGAGAAGAAAAACCAUUUUCACUGAAACCUCGUUCAUCAGUUCCAUAAGUAUAACACCUGCUCAGAAACCUUCAUUAUCAGUUCAUUCUUCCCAGUAAAUAAGCGAAAGUUUUAUUUUCCAAGACAACAUAUAUUUUGGUAAAGAGUAAAACUACAUUACUUUAAAAACAUUGGACACUUAGUCAGUUGUAUUUCAUACCUAAUUGUUGCUGUAUGUAGAUAUGUAUUUUCAGAGUGCUAGGCACAAAAUAGUUGCCAACAGCAACAUAUCAUACAAAUAUACAACAUGCAAAUCUAAUUUCCUAGUUAAAAGAUUUUCACAUUGUUGCAUCUAAUCUCUCAUUACUUAACAGCAACCAUAGUAAGCAGUUAUUGCUGGUUAUCAGCAAUAACGUGACAUGGGAAACCUGUGGUGAAAUUAAUAUAGCGUUUAUUUACUUACUGUUUUUAGUCUGAUGUGUUAUUCAGGUAUGAAAUUGAUUUAUUCUAAUCCUAUUGCCAACAUAAAUAGUUUAUGCCUUCUUGCUAAACUGAUUACUAUUUGUGUUUGAUAUAAUGUUCUUGGGUCAAUUAAAAUGUAAUGGUUGAAAAUAUAGGGCUUUUUGUUGCAUUUUCACAUUCAAAAGGUUGCUUUUUAAUCAAUGACUGUGGUCAAAUAUUUUACUGGUUACAUAUUAAAUCUGGAACAAAUGAAUUGUUUUUGUAAUUUGAAUAAAAAUGUAUUUGGUCUAGAA